UACAGAGGGUGCGAGCGUUGUUCGGAAUGAUUGGGCGUAAAGCGCUUGUAGGCGGCACGUCAAGUCGCGUGUGAAAUCCCCAGGCUUAACCUGGGAAGUGCGCGCGAAACUGACGAGCUUGAGUGCCGGAGAGGGUCGCGGAAUUCCCGGUGUAGAGGUGAAAUUCGUAGAUAUCGGGAGGAACACCAGUGGCGAAGGCGGCGACCUGGACGGACACUGACGUUGAUGCACGAAGGCCAGGGGAGCAAACGGG
rnacentral:rRNA from 1 species